rnacentral:rRNA from 1 species
ACGGGUGAGUAACGCGUGGGUGAUCUCCCUUGGUGAUCGGGAUAACAGCGGGAAACUGCUGCUAAUACCGGAUAAUCUUCAUGUUUAACUUCAUGGGGUAAAGGUGGCCUCUGCUUGCAAGCUACCACACCGAGAUGAGCCCGCGUCUCAUUAGCUAGUUGGUAGGGUAAUGGCCUACCAAGGCUACGAUGAGUAGCUGGUCUGAGAGGAUGACCAGCCACACUGGGACUGGAACACGGCCCAGACUCCUACGGGAGGCAGCAGUGGGGAAUAUUGCGCAAUGGGCGAAAGCCUGACGCAGCGACGCCUCGUGAGGGAUGAAGGUCUUCGGAUCGUAAACCUCUGUCAAGAGGGAAGAAACCCUUGGGUUCGAAUAGGGCCCUUGGCUGACGGUACCUCAAAAGGAAGCACCGGCUAACUCCGUGCCAGCAGCCGCGGUAAUACGGAGGGUGCAAGCGUUAAUCGGAAUCACUGGGCGUAAAGCGCUCGUAGGCGGUUUGGUCAGUCAGAUGUGAAAGCCCUCGGCUUAACCGGGGAACUGCAUUUGAUACUGCCAGACUUGAGUGUCGGAGAGGGUGGCGGAAUU